CCUUACCUGGCCUUGACGUCCAGAGAACUUUCCAGAGAUGGAUUGGUGCCUUCGGGAACUCUGAGACAGGUGCUGCAUGGCCGUCGUCAGCUCGUGUCGUGAGAUGUUGGGUUAAGUCCCGUAACGAGCGCAACCCCUAUCCCUGGUUGCUAGCAGGUAAUGCUGAGAACUCCAGGGAGACUGCCGGUGACAAACCGGAGGAAGGUGGGGAUGACGUCAGGUCAUCAUGGCCCUUACGGCCAGGGCUACACACGUGCUACAAUGGCGCGUACAGAGGGCUGCCAACUCGCGAGAGUGAGCCAAUCCCUUAAAACGCGUCGUAGUCCGGGUCGGAGUCUGCAACUCGACUCCGUGAAGUCGGAAUCGCUAGUAAUCGCGAAUCAGAAUGUCGCGGUGAAUACGUUCCC
rnacentral:rRNA from 1 species